rnacentral:rRNA from 1 species
AUUGAACGCUGGCGGCAGGCUUAACACAUGCAAGUCGAGCGGUAACAGAGAGAAGCUUGCUUCUCUGCUGACGAGCGGCGGACGGGUGAGUAAUGCCUAGGAAUCUGCCUAGUAGUGGGGGAUAACUUGCCGAAAGGUAAGCUAAUACCGCAUACGUCCUACGGGAGAAAGGAGGGGACCUUCGGGCCUUUCGCUAUUAGAUGAGCCUAGGUCGGAUUAGUUAGUUGGUGAGGUAAUGGCUCACCAAGACCGCGAUCCGUAACUGGUCUGAGGGGAUGGCCAGUCACACUGGAACUGAGACACGGUCCAUACUCCUACGGGAGGCAGCAGUGGGGAAUAUUGGACAAUGGGGGGAACCCUGAUCCAGCCAUGCCGCGUGUGUGAAGAAGGUCUUAGGAUUGUAAAGCACUUUAAGUUGGGAGGAAGAGCAGUUAACUAAUAUUUGACUGUUUUGACGUUACCGACAGAAUAAGCACCGGCUAACUUCGUGCCAGCCGCCGCGGUAA